rnacentral:lncRNA from 1 species
UGCCUCCCUGCCUUUGGUCUCCCUCAGGCCCAGAAGAAGCUGCGAGGGAGGCACAUGACAAGCUUGAAGAUGCUUUUAUUGAGAAGGAGAGGGACUGAACAGAUUCUUGACAAGCCUAGGCAUAAAUGCUCCAGGUUUGGGAAAGAGGGCCAGGCACUCACGCAGUGGAGAAGUUCUCUGCCUGCAGCCAGUCUGUGACAGCUGCAGCCAGCCGUCCCUGACCUGCAGGAUCAAGUCUUGGCUC